rnacentral:ncRNA from 1 species
AAUGUCAUUUUGAAAAGAAGAGUACGUGGCUGCGAUUACUAAGAGAGUCUCUGGUUGGUGCAAUGAGAUUAAUCGUGAAGCGGAAGAUGGUCUUGAAUUAAUGAAAUCUGGUGAGCUACGGUAAGCUAGGUUUGGGUCGCAUCCAUUAACGUGCGGAGUUAAUAUUAACUCCUAAGACAAUUUGUGUGAGCAAAUUGUAAAACUGGGUGGUACCGCGAGACCAAAAGCUUCUCGUCCCAAGU